rnacentral:rRNA from 1 species
CCACUCAUUAAAAGAGUGCGUAAUAGCUCACUGGUCGAGUGACUCUGCGCCGAAAAUUUAACGGGGCUAAAUCGUACACCGAAGCUUGGGAAUAUCAGUUAUUCUUCAUGGACUUGCAAGGAAAGAAACCAUGGCACGGAGUGCCAUCAAAUUGUCCAUAAGGAUAAAGCGAGCUUGUGAAGAAUAACUGAUGUUGGUAGGAGAGCGUUGAAUGCGGGGUGAAGUCAGAGCGAAAGCGCUGGUGGACUGCAUUGAAGUGAGAAUGCCGGAAUGAGUAGCGAGAUUUAUGUGAGAAUCAUAAAGGCCGAAAGACUAAGGUUUCAGAAGGAAGGUUCGUCCGCUUCUGGUUAGCCGGGAGCUAAGGUGAGGCCGAAAGGCGUAGCCGAUGCACAUACGGUGGAGAUUCCGUAGCCGUCAAAAUAUUUAAGCAAAGGGACACUUAUGAAGGGCAUGACCCGGGCGAUGGUAGCCCCGGGCGUAAGGGACCGAAAAUAAGUAGGGAAGCAUGUUUGGAAUAAGGCGAGAAAAGCUUUGUGAAUAUAUGAGACGUCCGUACCGCAAACCGACACAGGUAGUCAGGAAGAGGAUUCUAAGGCCAACGGGAGAAGGGUAGUUAAGGAACUCGGCAAAUUGACCCCGUAACUUCGGAAUAAGGGGCGGUGCGUAAGCACCCGCAGUGAAUAGGUCCAGGCGACUGUUUAUCAAAAACACAGCUCUCUGCUAAAUCGAAAGAUGACGUAUAGGGGGUGACACCUGCCCGGUGCUGGAAGGUUAAGAGGAGGAGUGCAAGCUCCGAAUUGAAGCCCCAGUAAACGGCGGCCGUAACUAUAACGGUCCUAAGGUAGCGAAAUUCCUUGUCGGGUAAGUUCCGACCCGCACGAAAGGCGUAAUGAUUUGAGCACUGUCUCGACAAUGCAUCCGGUGAAAUUGAAGUACCAGUGAAGAUGCUGGUUACCCGCGCCAGGACGGAAAGACCCCAUGGAGCUUUACUCCAGUUUGAUACUGGGAUUCGGUACUGCAUGUACAGGAUAGGUGGGAGACGAAGAAGGAUGGACGCCAGUCUGUCCGGAGUCGCUGUUGGGAUACCACCCCUGUAGUACUGGGUUUCUAACCAGUUGCCAUGAACUGGCAAUGGGACAAUGUCAGGCGGGGAGUUUGACUGGGGCGGUCGCCUCCGAAAGGGUAUCGGAGGCGCUCAAAGGUUCCCUCAGAAUGGUUGGAAACCAUUCGAAGAGUGCAAAGGCAGAAGGGAGCUUGACUGCGACACCGACGGGUGGAGCAGGUACGAAAGUAGGACUUAGUGAUCCGGUGGUAUAAAGUGGGAUUGCCAUCGCUCAACGGAUAAAAGCUACCCUGGGGAUAACAGGCUUAUCACUCCCAAGAGUUCACAUCGACGGAGUGGUUUGGCACCUCGAUGUCGGCUCAUCGCAUCCUGGGGCUGUAGUAGGUCCCAAGGGUUGGGCUGUUCGCCCAUUAAAGCGGUACGCGAGCUGGGUUCAGAACGUCGUGAGACAGUUCGGUCCCUAUCCGGCGCGGGCGGAGGAUAUUUGAGAGGAGCUGUCCUUAGUACGAGAGGACCGGGAUGGACGGACCACUGGUGUAUCUGUUGUCGACCAACGGCAUGGCAGAGUAGCCAAGUCUGGAAGGGAUAAACGCUGAAGGCAUCUAAGCGUGAAGCCCCCCUCAAGAUGAGAUAUCCCUCCUUCGGGAGUAAGACCCCUUGA